rnacentral:rRNA from 1 species
GCUUCCCUACGGGACGCAGCAGUGGGGAAUAUUGCGCAAUGGGCGAAAGCCUGACGCAGCCAAGUCGCGUGAGGGAAGACGGUCCUAUGGAUUGUAAACCUCUUUUGUCGGGGAGCAAAAAGGCCUCGUGAGGCCACAAGUGAGAGUACCCGAAGAAAAAGCAUCGGCUAACUCCGUGCCAGCAGCCGCGGUAAUACGGAGGAUGCGAGCGUUAUUCGGAUUUAUUGGGUUUAAAGGGUGCGUAGGCGGACUGGAAAGUCAGCGGUAAAAUCG